rnacentral:rRNA from 1 species
UUGCUUCUUUUGGAAUCGAGUGGCAAACGGGUGAGUAACACGUAAACAACCUGCCUUCAGGAUGGGGACAACAGACGGAAACGACUGCUAAUACCGAAUACGCUUGGGAGACCGCAUGAUCUUCCAAGGAAAGGGUGGCCUCUACCUGUAAGCUAUCGCCUGAAGAGGGGUUUGCGUCUGAUUAGAUAGUUGGUGGGGUAACGGCCUACCAAGUCUACGAUCAGUAGCCGGACUGAGAGGCUGAACGGCCACAUUGGGACUGAGAUACGGCCCAGACUCC